rnacentral:rRNA from 1 species
UACGGAGGAUGCAAGCGUUAUCCGGAAUGAUUGGGCGUAAAGCGUCCGCAGGUGGCACUGCAAGUCUGCUGUCAAAGGCCGGGCGUUAACCCUACGAAGGACGAGUGGAAACGUAGCAGAGCUAGAGUAAGGUAGGGGGCGAGGAGGAAGUUCCGUGGUGUAGGCGGUGAAAGUGACGUGAGAUCAGGAAGAACGAACCGG